GUGGCGACCGGCGCACGGGUGAGUAACGCGUAUGCAACUUGCCUAUCAGAGGGGGAUAACCCGGCGAAAGUCGGACUAAUACCGCAUGAAGCAGGGGCCCCGCAUGGGGAUAUUUGCUAAAGAUUCAUCGCUGAUAGAUAGGCAUGCGUUCCAUUAGGCAGUUGGCGGGGUAACGGCCCACCAAACCGACGAUGGAUAGGGGUUCUGAGAGGAAGGUCCCCCACAUUGGUACUGAGACACGGACCAAACUCCUACGGGAGGCAGCAGUGAGGAAUAUUGGUCAAUGGGCGUAAGCCUGAACCAGCCAAGUCGCGUGAGGGAUGAAGGUUUUAUGGAUCGUAAACCUCUUUUAUAAGGGAAUAAAGUGUGGGACGUGUCCUAUUUUGUAUGUACCUUAUGAAUAAGGAUCGGCUAACUCCGUGCCAGCAGCCGCGGUAAUACGGAGGAUCCGAGCGUUAUCCGGAUUUAUUGGGUUUAAAGGGUGCGUAGGCGGCCUUUUAAGUCAGCGGUGAAAGUCUGUGGCUCAACCAUAGAAUUGCCGUUGAAACUGGGAGGCUUGAGUAUGUUUGAGGGAGGCGGAAUGCGUGGUGUAGCGGUGAAAUGCUUAGAUAUCACGCAGAACCCCGAUUGCGAAGGCAGCCUGCCAAGCCAUGACUGACGCUGAUGCACGAAAGCGUGGGGAUCAAACAGGAUUAGAUACCCUGGUAGUCCACGCAGUAAACGAUGAUCACUAGCUGUUUGCGAUACAGUGUAAGCGGCACAGCGAAAGCGUUAAGUGAUCCACCU
rnacentral:rRNA from 1 species